UGCCUGUAAAGCAGUGUGGAUUUUGACGAAAUUUGUCCUGUCAACUUCAGUCACGUUUCUGGUCGCCAUCGCAUGUCAAAGAUUCGUUCGGAUAUGUCGGCCGUUUAAACAAGAAAUAUCGAGAUUUACAAACUAUUUAUUCAUUAUAUGUGCAGUUAUGUUUGUGUUGUUUGAAUCUGUUCCAUUUGCCCUUUUUGCAGGUAUAAAGGAACACAAAACUGAAACUGGCAAAGGAAUUGUGUUUAACGAAUGCAGAAGAUAUAAGAACAGUCCGGAAAUAUGGCUGCUUGUGUAUAGAAUCAUUGAAAACUUAUUGCAUGGACUGAUUGUUAUAACUAUUGUUGUACUUUAUUUUAAAUGUGGCUUAAAACUCGCGAAAGUCGCUAAGAAAAUAAACAAUUCUAAACACACACGACGGAAAGCAACAAUUAAUGUGGACCUCGCAAAUGACACAAUGGACGAAAGUUCCGUGACCAAUGGUCGAUCCUUGUUUUAUACAUUGCCUUCUUCAUCGACUAAUGAUAUAACCGCCGACGAUGCUUCAGUGACAACAAUGAAUUAUGGAACUACUAACAGGGCAUAUAAGAAAAUGAGGGCUAAGAACCAGAAAUAUAAACGGAUCAACUGUAUGUUUAUUUUAGUGUCGAUAAUUGUCAUGGUCACAUAUUUACCGCGGGUCGUGAUGUCAUUUUUCGAUGUUGAGGACGACCAUUUCUGGUAUAAACAUUCAUUAUUGACAGAGUUUACCGACCAGAACGUUCUAGCAAAGGUCUCUGUUUAUAGAUUAUACAUGGUAUCGUUUUUCAUUAAUCCAGUAGUAUACAGUGUUAUGGACGUGGAAUUUAGAAAGAGUCUAAAACUUUGUUGUUACCACUGUUUACAUUCGGAUGGACUAUAACUCUGUAAAGUCAGCUAAACGUUUUAAUUACGUUGUGUUGUGAAGGGAAUAUUAAGCUUCUCAGUGAUCAAAAUUAGUGUUUGUCAAACUGCUAUAUAACCUGUUUAAUUUUUCUGAUAAAACGGUUGGUUCAAAUUUGUUCAAAUUUUUAUAUUUUUGUCAAAGGGUCAAAGUAAA
rnacentral:lncRNA from 1 species